rnacentral:rRNA from 1 species
UACGUAGGGUGCGAGCGUUAUCCGGAAUUAUUGGGCGUAAAGAGCUCGUAGGCGGCUCGUCGCGUCGACCGUGAAAACCCGCGGCUUAACUGCGGGCUUGCGGUUGAUACGGGCGGGCUAGAGUUCGGUAGGGGAGACUGGAAUUCCUGGUGUAGCGGUGAAAUGCGCAGAUAUCAGGAGGAACACCGGUGGCGAAGGCGGGUCUCUGGGCCGAUACUGACGCUGAGGAGCGAAAGCGUGGGGAGCGAACAGG